AACGCGAAGAACCUUACCAGGGCUUGACAUAUACAGGAAUACUUAAGAGAUUAGGUAGCUCUUCGGAGUCUGUAUACAGGUGGUGCAUGGUUGUCGUCAGCUCGUGUCGUGAGAUGUUGGGUUAAGUCCCGCAACGAGCGCAACCCCUGUUCUUAGUUGCCAGCACGUCAAGGUGGGAACUCUAAGAAGACUGCCGGUGAUAAAUCGGAGGAAGGUGGGGACGACGUCAAAUCAUCAUGCCCUUUAUGUCCUGGGCUACACACGUACUACAAUGGCUAUUACAGAGGGAAGCGAAGCCGCGAGGUGGAGCAAAACCCAAAAAAGUAGUCUCAGUUCGGAUUGAAGGCUGAAAUUCGCCUUCAUGAAGCCGGAAUUACUAGUAAUGGCAGGUCAGCAUACUGCCGUGAAUACGUUCCCGGGUCUUGUACACACGC
rnacentral:rRNA from 1 species